rnacentral:rRNA from 1 species
GGUGACUCAUAGUAACUUAAUCGGAUCGCAUGGGCUUGUCCCGCGACAAACCAUUCAAGUUUCUGCCCCAUCAUGCUUUCGAUGGUAGUGUAUUGGACUACCAUGGCUUUCACGGGUAACGGAGGAUUAGGGUUCGAUUCCGGAGAGGGAGCCUGAGAAACGGCUACCACUUCCACGGAAGGCAGCAGGCGCGUAAAUUACCCAAUCCUGACUCAGGGAGGUAGUGACAAGAAAUAAUGGGUCGGGGUUCUGCCCCGGGACCGCAAUGAGACGAAUUUAGACCCCUUAUCGAGGACCAAUUGGAGGGCAAGUCUGGUGCCAGCAGCCGCGGUAAUUCCAGCUCCAAUAGCGUAUAUUAAAGUUGUUGCAGUUAAAAAGCUCGUAGUUGGAUUUCUGGUAGUGGGCAAGAGCUCGUUGCACGUUGCUCGCGUUCAUUGCCAUCCUUCUGUUAACCUAUCAGGGCAUUCUAUUGUCAGUUAGGGGCUCAGAUAUUUUACCUUGAGAAAAUUAGAGUGUUUCAGGCAGGCUUGUGCCCGGAUACAUUAGCAUGGAAUAAUGGAAUAGGACUUUAGCCUCUUCUGUUGGUCUGAGGGGUUGAAGUAAUGAUUAAUAGGGAUAGUUGGGGGCAUUAGUACUUAACUGUCAGAGGUGAAAUUCUCGGAUUUGUUAAAGACUAACUUAUGCGAAAGCAUUUGCCAAGGAUGUUUUCAUUAAUCAAGAACGAAAGUUAGGGGAUCAAAGACGAUCAGAUACCGUCCUAGUCUUAACCAUAAACUAUGCCGACUCGGGAUCGGGGGCCAGAGUUAACUGCCUUCGGCACCGUAUGAGAAAUCAAAGUCUUUGGGUUCUGGGGGGAGUAUGGUCGCAAGGCUGAAACUUAAAGGAAUUGACGGAAGGGCACCACCAGGCGUGGAGCUUGCGGCUCAAUUUGACUCAACACGGGGAAACUUACCAGGUCCAGACAUAGUGAGGAUUGACAGAUUGAUAGCUCUUUCUUGAUUCUGUGGGUGGUGGUGCAUGGCCGUUCUUAGUUGGUGGAGUGAUUUGUCUGGUUAAUUCCGUUAACGAACGAGACCUUAGCCUACUAAAUAGUCGCAACAAUUACGAUUGGCUGCGUCUUCUUAGAGGGACUUUGCAAGCAACUGCAAGGAAGUUUGAGGCAAUAACAGGUCUGUGAUGCCCUUAGAUGUCCUGGGCCGCACGCGUGCUACACUGACGCAUACAGCGAGUAUCACCAGCUCCGUGAGGCUGCUGGUAAUCAGCAAUAUGCGUCGUGCUGGGGAUAGAUCUUUGGAAUUUUUGAUCUUGAACGAGGAAUGCCUAGUAAGCGCAGGUCAUCAGCCUGCGUUGAUUAAGUCCCUGCCCUUUGUACACACCGCCCGUCGCUCCUACCGAUUUCGAGUGGUCCGGUGAACCCUUUGGACCGAGAGCGCCUCGUGAGCUUUUGGAAAGUCGAGUAAACCACAUCACUUAGAGGAAGGACAAGUCGUAACAAGGUUUCCGUAGGUGAACCUGCGGAAGGAUCAUUAA